CUAUCCGGGAACCGCCGCUGUAAUACGAGCGCUUCGCAAGACGUCUUGCGGGGUACAGAAGAGGGGGGUUGCCGUUCCUUCGCGAUAUAUAUUUUUCGAGAUAUUUAGAAUGCGCACACUUAACCCACAUGACUCUAUGUACGCUUAAAUCUUUAAAAUUACGCAACGGAUUUUGAUGCGGUUUUUUUAAUAGAUAUAGUGAUUCAAGAGGAAGGUUUCUACGUAUAAUAACAUCCAUUAAAUAGUGGAGAAAUACUGUUAUUUUAGAGGUUUUUAAUUUCAUUUUUUUCCUCACCAUUGCACCCUAGCGAAGCCGCUAGCGGGUCGCUAAUAUAUCUUAAAUUAAAGGUCACUUCACAAACCUGCUCUGCUAUUUAUAUGGCAGUAUAGUUAUGAAUCAUUUGCAUAGAACAAAUAAUGGCAUUAUAUAAGUAGGUGCAUCAGUAAUCGAAUCAGUUUUCCUUUAACUUUACGAAAAUGAGGUGGUUGUGGCUGCUAGUCUGUGCAUUAUGUGCUGUAUAUUCCGUUGGUGCUCCUCAAACUUCAAGGCAUUCAAAUCUUGGACCGAGGUUCACUGCUAGUGUUAUUAGAGGCGGACCCUGUCCUACAGGAAAACUGAGACUACCAAACGGAACGUGUGUUAGUAUUUCAUAAAUAAAAAAGGAGCAAGGAAAAAUCAAUCGAAAGGAGAAAACAGACUGGAAGAUGUAGAACGUCAAUUUUAAAUAUGCUUCGGUUUUUGUAAAGUGUGUAGGUACCUAAAAUUUAUUAAUAAACAAAAAAAUAUAUUAUGAUACAGAAAAUUAUAUGCAAUUAGUGUAUGUAACAAUAAAGGAAUACAAUAUAUGUACGAAAAUAUACAAAUAAAAUUAUUAUGUUAAAUAAAAUUAUUCGCAAUUAAGUAGUAUAUCUAAUAAUAAAGGAAUACAAUAUAAUGUACCUAAAAUAUAUAAAUUAAAUUAUUAUUUUAAAUAAAAUUAUUAUGCAAUUAGUCUA